rnacentral:rRNA from 1 species
GACAGAGGGUGCAACCGUUGCUCGGAAUUACUGGGCGUAAAGCGCGUGUAGGCGGUCUCGCGAGUCGGGUGUGAAAGCCCGGGGCUCAACCCCGGACGUGCACUCGAUACUACGAGGCUGGAGUACUGUAGAGGAUGGCGGAAUUCCCGGUGUAGAGGUGAAAUUCGUAGAUAUCGGGAGGAACACCAGUGGCGAAGGCGGCCAUCUGGACAGUGACUGACGCUGAGACGCGAAAGCGUGGGUAGCAAACAGG